CAACAGUACACAAAGAAAUCACAUUUAUCUAUAGUAGUCUGUAUGGAGAUGUCAAUGACAGCAACCCAACAGUACACAAAGAAAUCACAUUUAUCUAUAGUAGUCUGUAUGGAGAUGUCAAUUACAGCAACCCAACAGUACACAAAGAAAUCAUAUUUAUCUAUAGUAGUCUGUAUGGAGAUGUCAAUGACAGCAACCCAACAGUACACAAAGAAAUCAUAUUUAUCUAUAGUAGUCUGUAUGGAGAUGUCAAUGACAGCAACCCAAC
rnacentral:lncRNA from 1 species